rnacentral:rRNA from 1 species
GACGAACGCUGGCGGCGUGCUUAACACAUGCAAGUCGAACGGAAAGGCCCUGCUUGCAGGGUACUCGAGUGGCGAACGGGUGAGUAACACGUGGGUGAUCUGCCCUGCACUUCGGGAUAAGCCUGGGCAACUGGGUCUAAUACCGGAUAGGAGCCAUUUUUAGUGUGAUGGUUGGAAAGUUUUUUCGGUGUAGGAUGAGCUCGCGGCCUAUCAGCUUGUUGGUGGGGUAAUGGCCUACCAAGGCGGCGACGGGUAGCCGGCCUGAGAGGGUGGACGGCCACAUUGGGACUGAGAUACGGCCCAGACUCCUACGGGAGGCAGCAGUGGGGAAUAUUGCACAAUGGGCGCAAGCCUGAUGCAGCGACGCCGCGUGGGGGAUGACGGCCUUCGGGUUGUAAACUCCUUUCGCUAGGGACGAAGCUUUUUGUGACGGUACCUAGAUAAGAAGCACCGGCUAACUACGUG